AACGGGGGGGGCAAGCGUUGUUCGGAAUUACUGGGCGUAAAGGGCUCGUAGGCGGCCAACUAAGUCAGACGUGAAAUCCCUCGGCUUAACCGGGGAACGGCAUCUGAUACUGGAUGGCUUGAGUUCGGGAGAGGGAUGCGGAUUCCAGGUGUAGCGGUGAAAUGCGUAGAUAUCUGGAGGAACAGCCGGUGGCGAAGGCGGCGA
rnacentral:rRNA from 1 species